rnacentral:misc_RNA from 1 species
GAAUAAACUUGGUCAAGCUGUUGCUGGUCCUUCGGGGCAUGUGCACGUUUGCCACCAAUUUUAACCACCUGUGCACCUUUUGUAGACUUGGAAACGUUUCUCGAGGCAACUCGGAUUGAGGACUGCUGCGCGCAAGCCAGCUGUUCUUGUGUUUCUUGGUCUAUGUUUUAUAUACUCCGAAUGUAUGUAUCAGAAUGUAUGUCAAGGCCUAGCGCCUUUAAACUAAAUACAACUUUCAACAACGGAUCUCUUGGCUCU